AUAACUCUUUGCCACAUUUGAUUAUGUUUCUUAUAGGGCCUUAUUCUGAAUAUUUAUGACAUUAUAUUAUUUCACAUUUAUUGUUUGUACAAUAAUGUUACAGAUGAUUGUAUUCUUCGUUUUAGGGGAUUUUUUCGGUGAUUCAGAUUUUGUAAUGUAAUUUUGUUAUCUUACACAGUAACUUGUUUCCUGGCAGCCUUUCUGCUUUUAUAUUUGAUGAACUAAAUCAUCUGCUGUAAUCUGUGUUUUUUAUAGUGCCAAAUUCUUAGAUUUAUGAUCUUCAGAUGUUAUUGUAAUUUUGACAAUGAAAAUGUCUGUUUGAAAAUAAUGCAGUCACUAAAUGUUCAGGUUUAAUAACUAAAAAGAUGUGUUAAGUAUACACAACAAUGUGCCCUGAAUAUAUCAAUUGUAGGUAUUAUUUUUGCAUUGUAGCAAAAAUAGUAAAUCACAAAAACAGCUGUGGUUUUCCUAGGGUAUAAGGAAAAGACUAAAUAUAAGAAAAUAAUCCUUAACAAAAAAGAGAAACUAGUACAUAGCAAUAAAAUUAUAUAAUAAAGAGUUGUCCAUCUAAAAAAAAAAACCACCAAGGAUAAAACCAGACAAUUCAUGUAGAGUUCUCUAACCUAAGUUUGUCUUAACCAAAUGUUAUGAAACUCAGAUCAAGUACAAGUUUGGGUAGAGUAAAUUUUACCAUUCUUGAGGUAAUGUCCCUUUACAACUUUUAUGCAAGAGGGGGCAUCAUCUUGGUCCCAUGGACACGUUCACUGUUUUUUUUAUAAAUAAAUCUAGAGACAAUAAUGUAAGUGUAAUACUUCAUUUGACUUCCAUGUUAUGAUUAAGGAAUACAGGAAGCAAGUAACUUAAUUAAAGAUCCCACUUGUCAUAUCUGUGAAAUUCUAUUCUAUUAUGUAACCAUACAGAUAUAUCCUGCUGUGAAAGCACGCAAAAUCUUUAAGUUUUUCUCCUGUUGAUUAACUUCAUUUGAAAAGGUAAAACUAUUUAAAUUUUCUCUAAAUUAUGAACUGCAUGGAAGCAUAUGAUAAUACAAAUCAAAUACCCAUAUAGAUUUUUAUUGCACAAUGUUAAAUGCAUCUUUGUCAUAUCAAAGAUUGCCUCACAGGUAGAAUAAAACUUACCCCGAAAAUAAUAACUUCGAGUUUAAACCAGGCUACAUGUACUUUGAGUCUAUUGACUUUGGGUCAAAAGGUGACUUUUCUCAUCAGAAAUGUCAUGGCCAAUAAAUUAGAGGAGAAUUUGAGUGAUGUAACUGUUAAGUUACUGCCUUGAAUUAUAAGUCUCCUUGAACUCUACAAAAAAAAUUACAUAGAAAUAGGGACAGUUGUGAUUUAUUGUUGCCCUCUAUACACUAUACUUAUUAUAAACACCUUGGUCUUAAAAUCUUUUACAUCAUUGUAUCUCUAAGUUAUGUACAAGUUAUGAUUUAGACGUAUUUUUUCCCAGACUUGAGUUUAAUGACGUCUGCAUUUAUUGCAGGUUAAAAUCGAAAAAAAGAAAAAUUUAACUUUUCCUUGAUUUUAUUGGUUUUAUUGUGUUGUUAGGUUUUUGCUUCGUUGAUAUUUACCCAACAUCUCCUUUUAUUUAUCAAACUUUAUUUAAACAAACUUAAUUUCUAUUCUUUUUAUAAAUCUAGUCGAUGAUUAUAUAAAAGCAAAGUAUAGAACUACUCGUAGCUUUUUUACAAAUAUUUGUGAUUACAGUCUUUAGCAGGAGAUAAUAUUUUGCAUAUUAAUUGAAAACAAGCUGUUUUUGUUAGAUUUCAAGUGAACAAAUUUGUAACUUUUUGGGGGUUAUUUAUAAAUUUCAAGAUUGUGAGGUUAGGUACUGUGAAAUCAUAUUGACUAUAGUCUAAUUUUUCCAAUUCUGCAUUGAGUUGCUUACCUUUAAAACAGACAUUCAUUUUCAAUGUUAAUUAAGAAUUAGAACAUAAACGAAAUUUUUCUAUGUGAAAUCUUAAAAGUUCAUAUAUUUUAUAUUUUUUAAGCUACAAACUUUUGAUAUCAACAAUUUUUUUUUGUUUUUAUUGAAAAACUCUUUCCACAAAUAGCUUUGUCCGGUGCAGAACCUGUCUUUAUUUGGUAAAGGGAAACAACCAGUGUUAAAAGUGUGUAAUAAUAUUAUUGAAUCUGGUUCACGAAUUGACAAUUGAUAAUGUCAGUCAAUCUUUAAUGAGGUUAUUAUGGUUUUACAGAGCCUCUCUUAUGUUGGAUGUAAAUCAUAUUAUUUUUUUAUCAUUGAUAAUUGUCAUGAACAGUCUAAGAUUCUGAAAGUAUACUUUGUGAACUGGUCUUUCUUUGUAUGGCUAGCUGGACUCUGUUUAAAGAGAGCAUAAGGGGGAAAACAUUUUUUUCAAAGUAAAUAUCGGCCAGAUGUUUCAAAAGCGUCAUCAAAAAAAGAUUAUUUUAAAUGACUAACACAAUUAAAACAGUCUUAGUUUACAGGACUGUUUGUGGGUUAAAGAUGCAGUUUCAUAUAAAAGGACCAGUCAUAAACAAAGAACUCUGUAAACUUUCAUUCAUGUUUCAUAAACAAUAUGUGCAAUUAAGCAGUACCUAUAGACUGCUGUGUUGUUGAGUCUCUCUGCCUUCAGUGCUUUACAUUGUAUGUCAUUGAGCUGGCAUAGUAGGUGAAGAGACUUACAAUAUAUAGGUAGUAAUAGAAUUAUGAGUGGUGAGAACAUGGUGUAUAUGUAUUGUCAGUAUUGUUGUAGAUACUGGACGUCUUUGGUCAUGUGAUCAGAACUCAGAAUAAAUAUAUAUAUCUUUAA